CCCUUAGAUGUUCUGGGCGGCCCGCGCACUACAAUGGCGUGUGCAGCGAGUGCCGAAGUAGAGUUUUCCGAGGUAUUCUUGCAAUGCUCGUUUUGAUGGGGAUAGACCCUUGCAACUGUUGGUUUUGAACGAGGAAUUCCUUGUAAGCAUGGUUUAUCAUCCGACGCUGAAUGCGUCCCUGCCCUUUGUACACACCGCCCGUCGCUCCUACCGAUGAGUCGUCCGGUGAAGUUCGUAGACCUCGUGAUCGCGGAUCACUGGGGGAAGCAAAAUGAACCUCGCGGGUUAGAGGAAGGAGAAGUCGUAACA
rnacentral:rRNA from 1 species